GUGAGCGCCCCCGCCCCGGAGCAGGGGUCCGCGCUGGGGGUCCGGAGGGCGGGGGCGCGGCCCGACGCCCCACCCCCAGCUUGUUCACUGCCGCCAGGGCCCAGCGCCUGAAGCGCGGGUCCUUCGCUGGGACGAGCGCUUUCAUCUCCGUCCCUCAGUUUCCCUCCCCUUGUCUUCUCCCUGUGUCCUGGGAGUUAUGGGGAAGCUCAGCCCUUGGCAAAUGAGCUUGGGACCUUCCUAAAACCUAAGCCAAUGAUAGGCCCGAUCUUGCCUGAGAGGGGCACGUGAGAGACCCCCAAGCUGGAGAGGCAGAUGUCCUGGUAACUCUAACCUGAGACCGUUUUCAGGGUGAGCCUUCUCCUAAUCACGGCUGGGGCGUCUUCGUCCAAGGUGGGGCUGGAUGGGGGUGGGCAGAGGCCCCCACAGUCACAGCCUGGCCAGCUGUGCAAAUGCUCCCCUAAACCGUCCCCCGCUUCAGUCACUCAGCCAACCAAUCAAUCGCAGGGGCCUCCCUCUGGGGUGGAAAGUGGUGGCCCCAGGGACCAGGGACCUUCACAGGGAGAGAGGGCUGUGGUCCGGGCAGGGGCGUCAGGGGUUCAGCCUGGGUCUCCUGACCUCCAGGCCCACGUCUUCCCUUAGACAACACCUGAGAGCAUCUCCCAGCGUGGCUGUGGCCACACACAUCCCUGGGAGUAGGACGGGCCACCGCGCUGAAGCUGUGGAUGCAGGGCUCCCAAUCUGUAGGCGAGGGGCCUCUCCCCUGCAGGGGACAGGAUCAGGACCCUGGGAGCCCUCAGUCCCCCUCCCAGCACUGAUUACCUGGAAAACCCCCCGAGCCCAGGUUGAUGAAGAAGGUGGGACCCUGACAGUGAGUGGCCUGAGCCUGGGAUGGUAGCUUGACCUCAUCUCCAAGGUCAUCCUCCCAGACCUGGGAGUCUAAAAACAUUAAAUCCUUCAGAAGGACAUAUUUGCAUCAGAUCACUGUUCAGAACGCCACUGGUGCCAUUCACGGAGCAGUCCCUGGGCUGAAGUGGCUGCUCUGGUCUGGUGAGCGGGGGCACCCACGCGAGCUCCCAGGCCCAGAGGCCUCCC
ensembl:lncRNA novel transcript